CUCCGCCUCCUCCUCCUCCUCCGCCUCCUCACCUGCUCCGAGCCAGCGAGGAAAGGGGGCCCGGGUGGCUGGCUGGCUGGCGUGCCGGCGCCGGGGUCCCCGCAGAGGGCGCGAGAGGGACAGGCGCCGCCUGCCUGCCUGCCUGCCUGCCUUCGGGGAGGGCUCCUCCGGGCCGGGGGCGGGACCGCCGGGCGGCCCUCGACUCGGCGGCUGGGGAUCCAGGCCAGGCCCGGCUGGCCCUGCGGGUCCGCCCACCCGCCUCUCUCUGCCUCUGUCUCUCUGCGCCGGCCUUGGAGCGGCCCUCAGCCGGCAGGAGGAAGAGGAAGGAGGAGGGCGGGGAGGGGAGAGGCGGCGCCGUCCGUGGAGAGGGGGGCGAGGAAGGAAAGGGUUAAAGGAGGACCCCCCCCCGGUCUUCCUGGCCUCUCCCGCCACAGGCAGACACUUAGGGGUCUCUCUCCCCACCCCCACUUCUGUUAUCUCCCUCUGCCUCAGUUUCCCUCAAGGUGCCUGUGCCUCUGUUCCUUCCUAAAGGUGUCUUAUUUUCAUAGAAUCAUAGAAUAGUAGAGUUGGAAGGGGCCUACAAGGCCAUCCAGUCCAACCCCCUGCGCAAUGCAGGAAUCCAAAUCAAAGCAUUCAUGACAGAUGGCUGUCCAGCUGCUUUUCUUCUUACCUUUCUUUUCUCUUUCCUUCAGAGUGCCUGCUCGUCCUUUCCAAUUUUAUUUCAGUUUCUUUCUUUGGUGUUCUUCUGUUCCUAGCUUUCUUAGCUCUGCCUCAGUUUACCCCCAAAUGCCCUUUUUCUUUCUUUCUUCUGCUGUGCUUCAGUUUCCCUCAAAGUGCUUUCCUUCCCACUCCUCCCUUUCCUUUCCUUUCCUUUCCUUUCCUUUCCUUUCCUUUCCUGCAUUCUUUCCAGUGAAACUGAAUGUUGGAAGGUUUAUAGGCAAAGCAAAGGGGACCCUCCCCCCAACUGAGCAAAUUGUUCCCACAGGAGGCAGUGGUGGCCACCAAUUUGGAUGGCAUUAGAAGAGGAUUAGACGGAUUCAUGGAGGAUGGGGCUGUCAGUGGCUGCUAGCCACGAUGGCUGCGUUCUUCCCAUGUCACAAGCAGAAGGCCUCUGCAUGCCAGUUGCUGGGAAUGGCAGUGACGAGAGUGCGUAAUGGGCAUCUGGUUGGCCACUGUGAGAGCAGGAUCCUGGACGAGAUGGGCCCCUUGGGCCUGAUCCAGCUGCCGCAGAGCUCUUGUGAUGUUCUUUUGCCUCUCUGACCUUUUCUGCCCUCCUCUUUUUCUUUCUCUGGGCUUGCCAUGUCUGUCUUUUCCUCACUUGCCCUCAAAGUUUUGGCUCCAUCUUUCUUUUCCUUCUUUCACUCUAAUUCCCCCUCAAAGCAUCUUUCUUUUGUGCAAAACUGGGAGAAGGAAGUUGUGAAAAGGAGGCUUGUGUUUGCGGAAAUGUACCACAUGUGAAGCCUUUCCUGGCCUGGCAGUUCAGCAUUGCGGGGGGGGGGAGGCUUCACCUGCUCUUGCUUCAUGGCUGCCUGUAAUGAAGAGGCUGCACCUCUUUACCCUGGCCUUUGACACCCGAGAUGAUUGCUGUUAUAUCUGACAGGAUAUUGUUAAAGACAGCCAGGUCAACAAAACCUUCUGCCGGUCAGAAUCUCUGCACUGCUCCAAAUCUUGGAUAUUACUACAGAAAAACCGCAGUGUGAAACCCAUUUUCCUCAGCAAACACAUCAAAUAUGGACAUGAAUUUACAUGCAUAUUUGUUUGUAGGUUUAUACUUGCAAUUUUGACCCCCCCCCCAAAAAAAGUCUUCAAGGUGCCUCAGAACAGCAGCGAUAGAACACAGCAAACUACACAGGAACAUGGCUAAGGAGCCCAGGAUGGCAAACAUGCAAAUGAUAAAGCAAUUAAACCAUCUUUAAAAACGGGUCUAAUGAAGAUGCAGUCUGGGAUAAAAGUCUCUACUGAAAAGGCUUUUUGGAAGAGGAAGAGGUCUUCAGUAGGUGUGGAGAAGACAACAGAGACAGAGCCUGCCUACUAUUUAAGGAGGAAGUUCCAAAAAUGGCUGCCCCAAUUUGCAUCUUGAAAUAACAUCUGCCAGGAGUGAUUUGAUGGAUUCUUUGUGCCAAAUGCGCCUGGAAGUCAGAGCCACCUGCAGCCGACAUCACACACAGGCCUCUGCCUUGAUGGGUGACCAAGGUGAUGUCUGAAUGCCAUAGUGUGUGUGCACCCAGGUGCACAUGUGUAGUGUUGUCCUUCCACAGAUGCAAUUAGUCAGUGGGCCAGAAAUGUGGAGAUAACAGGCCAUGAGCUGACUAUAAGUUCAUAAGGGCAGGAGGCAUCCCUAGCCUUUCUGCAGAUGCCAGUGGGGUUUGAAGCUGGGACCUUCUGCAUGCAAAGCAGGCACUCUGCCACUGAGCUGUGGAUGUUCCCUUAAAUAUAAAGUAAGGCUGUGUAGACCACCAUACGCUUAAGGUACAUUUAAAGCACAUCCUCCCCUUCCCAAAGACUCCUGGGAACUGUAGUUUGUUAAGGAUGCUGGGAACUGUAGCCAAUGUGAGGGGGAAACUAUAGCUCCCAGGAUUCUCUGGGGGCAAUAUCUGCUUUGAAUGUAUGGUGUGAGAGCAGCCUUAGAUUGUCACUAAGAGAGUUACACUUCAGUCCUGGAAGGGUAGACACCCACCAUCUAUUACACAAUGGUCUGAGGACCUCGCUGCCAUUUGAACACACUUCCUAUAAACAUCAGUUUUUGGAGGCUUGAAUGGCUUAUAUCGAUUUCUAUUUUAAAAUCAAGAUGGAUGUGUUGAUGGCUAUUGUAUUCUCAGUGUGAGCUGUUUUUUCUUUCACUUCCUCUUUUUCUUUUUUUCUUCCUUUGUUACAUUUGUUAUAAGAUUCUAGUCCUCAUAGUUCUCAACAAAGGGCUGAAUUAAAUUGGAACAUAAGAAGCUGCCUUAUACCGUUGAUCCAUCUACCUCAGCACUGUUUAUACUGUGGCAGCAUCUCUUCGGGGUUUCAGACCAGAGUUCUUCGCAACUCUAAGUGGAGAUGCCAGUGUGGACUGAACCUGGCUCCUUCUGCAUGCAAAGCAGGUGCUCUGCUGCUGAGCUAUGGCCCUUCCCCUAAAAAUAAAUUAAGAUUCUAGUCCCCAUAGUUCUCAGCUCCAAAGGGCUACAUUAAAUGGGAGCCAUGGAAGGCAAUUGGUUAAUCUAGCUCCAUAGCGUCUACACUGAUUGGCAGCAGCUCUUCGGGGUUUCAGGCAGGAGUCCUUCCAAGCCCUAACUGGAGCUGGCAGCUAUUGAACCAGGUACCUUCUGCAUGCCCUGCUGCCACUGUGUUAUGGCCUUUCCCCGCAGGGCCACCUUCGCAGGCAGCUGUCCUUGCAUCCGUCUCCUGUUUCCUGAAAUAAAAGCAGGAAGGUAAAAAUGAAAGCGCAGCCAUUUCUUACUUCCAACACUUGGCAGAUGUCUGCCAGUGGGAGGUGGGUGGAUGGCGGGCAGGCCAGGAAGACAUUGUGUUUCCUCGUGUCAGACCCUCCCCGCCGCUGAUGCAGGGAUGCAAGUUCUAGCUGGCUCGCCUCUCCGUUCCACACCAUCAUCAUAUUAACCAUCUGGCUGCGGAAAGUCAUAAGUAGGGAUGUGGGAGAAAUGUGGUUCCGUUUGCAUUUGAAGGCAAACCUGCCUAAUUGGCACAUUCUGAGACAAUGCCUGAACCCAAUCACAGCCGUCUGUUGAAAUUCAGACUUCUCUGCAUGUUGCAGUGCAGUUCUCUAGCCAAGUCGUGUCUACAGAAAUGCAUGCACCAGGGUGAAGAGUGCAUACAAAGGCAUACAUGAGUGAAAACAACACACAAAACUGCAUUGCGAAAAAUGUUUGCUUUGUAAAAAUGCAUAUUAGGCAAAGUCAUGUACCAAAAUGUACUUAUUAGGGUAAAUUUCCUCUACAAUGCUGAUAAAUUUUCAUGAGGACUUGUCUUUUUUUUUUAAAUAAUCACAAAACAAAU